rnacentral:rRNA from 1 species
GCGUAGAGUAUAAAGGCAAAAGCGCGCUUAACUGCGAGACCCACAAGUCGAGCAGGUACGAAAGUAGGUCUUAGUGAUCCGGUGGUUCUGUAUGGAAGGGCCAUCGCUCAACGGAUAAAAGGUACUCUGGGGAUAACAGGCUGAUACCGCCCAAGAGUUCAUAUCGACGGCGGUGUUUGGCACCUCGAUGUCGGCUCAUCUCAUCCUGGGGCUGAAGCAGGUCCCAAGGGUAUGGCUGUUCGCCAUUUAAAGAGGUACGCGAGCUGGGUUUAGAACGUCGUGAGACAGUUCGGUCCCUAUCUACCGUGGGCGCUGGAAAUUUGAGAGGAUCUGCUCCUAGUACGAGAGGACCAGAGUGGACGAACCUCUGGUGUACCGGUUGUGACGCCAGUCGCAUCGCCGGGUAGCUAUGUUCGGAAGGGAUAACCGCUGAAAGCAUCUAAGCGGGAAGCCUACCUCAAGAUAAGAUUUCCCUAGGAAUUUAUUCCUCUAAAGAGCCGUUCGAGACUAGGACGUUGAUAGGUUGGAUGUGGAAGCAUAGUGAUAUGUGAAGCUGACCAAUACUAAUUGCUCGUGAGGCUUGACUAUACAACACCCAAGCAGUUG